CUAAAUAUGCUGGCAAGUACUUUUGCCAUGAAACUCCCAAAAGCUUGGAUCAUGGUCCUUGAAAGGAGAUAAAGAUCCAUGGUUUUGGAUUCAGAGCUUUGAACCACUGUUUCCUUCUUUCAGUGAAGUCUCUUACUCUUUCCUCUGCUUAUUCUGUCUCCCAAGGCCAGCCUAGCUGUGACCUGUUGGUCUCCCUCCCUCUGCAGGGCAGGCAGACUGACUCCCGGCAGGAGUUUCGCCAUAUCCUUGUGUGUGUCCAUGGUGCUCCUUGUGAACCGCUUCCUUUUCUUCUUGAAACUCAUUAAAGUUUUGUUGCAUCUAAUCCUGAGUCUCCGAGUCCUCUUCUGCUCACAGAGAACACUUCCAUUUUGCUCAGGGAAAAAUAUGGAUCAAGGGGAAGGUGGGACUCCCUGCAGUGGAAAUUUGUCACUUGACACCACAGUAAAUCAGUUUCAAGUUUUCAUAGUUCAACUGACUGGAGUUGCUCUUGAGGGACAGUCAACUUAGUGACUUUGACAGUCUAUUUGCUUAGCUCUCCUUGGCAAAGACAUAGGCAUUUCUUAAGCAACAUUCUCUGCUCUUGCCAGUCACACCUGAUGUAUUCUCCGGCAACAGUCUGCAUUAGACCUAAAAGGGACUUUUGCCACUUAAAAUAAGCAAUUAAGAAUGAGGCAAUUAAGAAACCAAUGCACCCAGGAACUGUCACACACCCAACUACGUGCAGCGGGAAUCCGCCAUUCCCCGGCAAUGGUACUGGACCAUGGCAAAGGAGAACAAGACACCUGUAACUGAUCUCAUUCCCCUGGGCUUCCCAUCCCUCCCAGGGUGGGCACAUGGCCCCAUGUGCCAUUGUCUUCUCCACGUAUCUUCUCAACCCUGGUGGAAAAUGACCUCCGUUCUUCUUCCUCCUCAUAUUUCCUUGGUGAAGACCUGAUACACCGCCACUGUUGUGUCAAAAAUGAUGUAGAUUUUCCUUGCCUUGAGUAAAACAGUUUGUGUUGUCUGCUGGGUGACACAGUCAUUUUCAUGUUUGA